ensembl:rRNA 5S_rRNA 5S ribosomal RNA
UUUUAUAGUCUACCCAAAUCACAUUUCGUCGCUUAGCCUGAAUAUGCCCAAUCUCGCUAGCUAAGCAGGGUCGGGCCUGGUAGUACUUGAAUGGGAGACCGCUUGGGAAUACCAGGGGCUGUCAGCC